rnacentral:tRNA from 1 species
GCCUGGGUGGCUCAGUCAGUUAAGCGUCUGACUUCAGCUCAGGUCAUGAUCUCACGGCUUGUGGGUUUGAGCCCCGCAUUGGGCU